CAAAAUGUCUGGGUUUUAUUAGGGAAAAGCCUCUGGGAGAAGGGCAGCCCAGCUCCUGGGCGAGGAAGUUCAGGGUAGGGGGCAGAGUAUGCCAGCCAUACCUCGGAAUAGGAAGGAGCCAAAGAACGCUGGGAGAACCUGGAAGCCAGGUCCUCUUUAAUGUAUUAAAUAGGCACCUCAGCUGCUUGUCCAGGGUUUGAAACUUAACAGUGGGCACACAUCCCACUCCACAUUCCCUGCUUCCUUUGGUAACCAGAGAGCCGGCUUUCAGAAUCAGGCUAUGAACUGCAUUCCUUUCUCUGAGAGCUAUAGGAAGGGACGACAUCUCCCCCGUGUGGGCCUGAGUCCUCUCUUUAGAGCCACUGACGUGCUUUCUGUCUCUGGCACUGGGACCCGAGGUCUCCUCAGAGCAUCUAUCACACUGUCUGUCUGUCUGUCUGUCUGUCUGUCUGUCUGUCUGUGGUGCCAAGAGCCCGUGAUGAAAGGUUUCGGAUGUGGAUUUCAAGAGGGACACUUAAGAAUGACUAUUGGGGGUAAGAGUUACGGAGAACGAGAGAGAAAGGGGCGGACAUGGCGGCUCCGCUCGGCUCCCGCAGAGGACGGCUGAGCGCGCGCAGGGUCUGUGCGGCCGGCCUGCAGCCUUGCUUCGGCCUCCCGCUUCCUGCCUCCUUGCGCCGCCGCUAGCUUCUGCUCUGCUCUAGCCUGUCGGGCCUGCGUCCCGGAGAGGCAACGCGAGCCGGCCCGGCAAGGCUCCGCCGGCCCCUGCCCGCCGGCGGGCCGGCCUUCCUCCCCUCUCCCGGGAGCGGCGGGCGCAGCGUGGACCCGGUCCCCCUGGCUGGACCAUGGUGAACACCCGGAAGAGCUCUCUGCGCCUUCUCGGGUCCAAGUCUCCUGGGCCCGGGCCUGGGUCUGGGGCCGUAGCGGAGCCGGGGGCGACCUGCGGCAGCAGCCAUUUCAUCUCCUCUCGGACCCGCUCCUCCAAGACGCGCGCGGCCAGCUGCCCGGCAGCUAAGGCUGGGGGAAGCGGCGGCGCCCUGGACGAGGCCCGGAAGGCUGAGGUAGACGGAGGCUUAAGUGACAGCCACGUAUCUCCUCCAGCCAAACGCACUUUGAAGCAGCCGGAUUCUGUUUGCAAAGACAAAUCAAAAUCACGAGGCACUGGUCAGCGAGAGGAAUGGAACAUAACAUCUGCUCAGACCAGGUUAACUUCUCAGCCUGAUGCUGCAUUAUCCAACGGACAUAGUAGCUUGUCACUUCGAAGCCACCCCCUUCAGGGGGAAAAGAAAGGAGAUGGAGACCUUUCAUGUAUAAAUGGUGACAUGGAAGUCAGAAAGAGUUGUCGGUCCAGGAAAAACAGAUUUGAAAGUGUGAAUCAGAGUUUAUUAUUUGAUCAACUAGUAAAUAGUACUGCUGAAGCUGUUUUACAAGAAAUGGACAAUAUUAACAUCCGGCGAAAUCGCCGGUCAGGUGAAGUAGAGCGGCUUCGAAUGUGGACAGACACAGAAUUUGAAUAUAUGGAUAUGUAUUCAAGGGUAAAAAGACGAAGAAAAUCACUGAGAAGAAAUAGUUAUGGGAUACAGAAUCAUCAUGAAGUUUCUACUGAGGGCGAGGAGGAAGAAUCUCAAGAGGAGGAUGGAGACAUAGAGGUUGAAGAGACAAAAGGAGAAGAAAAUGAUAGACCAUAUAAUUUGAGACAAAGAAAAACAGUGGAUCAAUAACAAGCACCACCAAUAGGGUCCCCAGUUCACCUUCUCCCAGGAUGACUUUCUGAUUUCCAUCCUGCCAUCCCUCAAGGAAAUUGACACCAUGGUCUUCAUUUUUAUUCUGGAUGAUAACCUCACAGAAGUACAGGCCCUGGCUGAAAGGAUGAGGGAGAAGAGUCGGAGCAUCCAGGCCCUGGUGCACAGCACUGUCCUUGCCAGCCCCUCUAAAGAAACUCUUUCCCUUGAUCAUCAGCAUCACAUGGCCACUUCUUUUCUUCCAUUACGAGAGGAGCUACGUUCAGAGGUUCUCUGGACAAUCCAAGGCUCACUGCAUCGAGAGCCUUCUUCAAGUGAUCCAUUUUCCUCAACCACUGUCAGAUGAUGGCUGCAGCUUCUUCAGUCUGUGAAGUUGUUAGAAACAUCCUCUCUGGGCCGGGUCAGAAGCGCAGCACGCAAACCCUUGGAGACCCUACUGCCUGUGGUGCCCUGAAUUGAUGGAGGGGCAGAGCCCCCUCCAGUUCCCAGGGGACUUGUGCCAGCAAUACAGUUGUGGGGACAAUCUCAGUUUCGGGUGAGUGUGGCACUCACUAACAGCCCAGAAUUGGGAAAGAGUCCUGUUUUCAGCUGGAUCAUUUCCAUUUUUACUGGUGUCUUCUGAUCUCAGAAAUAAAACUGUCUUGUGUUGGAACCUAACCUUGC